UACGGAGGGUGCAAGCGUUAUCCGGAAUCAUUGGGUUUAAAGGGUCCGCAGGCGGUCUAAUAAGUCAGUGGUGAAAGCCUACAGCUCAACUGUAGAACUGCCAUUGAUACUGUUAGACUUGAAUUCGGUCGAAGUGGGCGGAAUGUGACAUGUAGCGGUGAAAUGCUUAGAUAUGUCACAGAACACCGAUAGCGAAGGCAGCUCACUAGGCCGACAUUGACGCUCAGGGACGAAAGCGUGGGGAGCAAACAGG
rnacentral:rRNA from 1 species